rnacentral:rRNA from 1 species
ACUCCUACGGGAGGCAGCAGUGGGAAUGAUUGCACAAUGGGGAACCGACUGAUGCAGCCAUGCCGCGUGUGUGAAGAAGGCCUUCGGGUUGUAAAGCACUUUCAGUAGGGAGGAAGGUAGUGUAGUUAACACCUGCAUUAUUUGACGUUACCUACAGAAGAAGCACCGGCUAACUCCGUGCCAGCAGCCGCGGUAAUACGGAGGGUGCGAGCGUUAAUCGGAAUUACUGGGCGUAAAGCGCAUGCAGGCGGCCUGUUAAGUCAGAUGUGAAAG